GACAUCCGAGGAUUCAGUCUGGGGAUUGGGUAGUAUUCUGCCAGCUUCAGAAGAAGGGAAGAUGAGAUUACAGAGACACACAUUCAACUCCCUGCCUGCUCAGUAGCUAGUAACUGGAAGACAGUCUGCAACAAUG
rnacentral:snoRNA from 1 species